GAUGAACGCUAGCGGCAGGCUUAACACAUGCAAGUCGAGGGGCAGCACGGGUAGCAAUACCUGGUGGCGACCGGCGCAAGGGUGCGUAACGCGUGAGCAACAUGCCCUAUACAGGGGGAUAAUCCAGGGAAACUUGGUCUAAUAUCCCAUAGUAUUUAGAGGAGGCAUCUUCUAUAAAUUAAAGCUUCGGUGGUAUAGGAUUGGCUCGCGUGACAUUAGCUAGAUGGUGAGGUAACGGCUCACCAUGGCAAUGAUGUCUAGGGGUUCUGAGAGGAAGGCCCCCCACACUGGGACUGAGACACGGCCCAGACUCCUACGGGAGGCAGGCAGUGAGGAAUAUUGGACAAUGGAUGGAAAUCUGAUCCAGCCAUGCCGCGUGCAGGAAGACAGCCCUAUGGGUUGUAAACUGCUUUUAUAUGGGAGCAAUAAGGUCUACGUGUAGACUGAUGAGAGUACCAUAUGAAUAAGC
rnacentral:rRNA from 1 species